AGAAUGAAACUACCUCCUCCAGAGAAACCAGCCAAGAGAUGCAGAGAAAUGGAGCUCCUCCAGCUUCAGCGAUGUCCCCGGAUCCACUCUUCAUGGGAAGCAGUCCCAUCUUUAGCUCCCCAGGUCUUACAUCUUUAAAGCAGCAAGUCUGUCCCCUUCGUGCUCAUUGAGAAUAUCUGAUACCUUCAUGUUUGGACUCAUCCAGCCCCCAUCUCCUCAGUCUAUCUCAGAUCUGACAGUGGAGGCUGCUUUGUCCAGGACCAACCUUUUCUCUUGCCUCAUUUCUGCUAUGCCAGCUGAUGAAGAGCAUGCUAUGCCCUCAGCUUCUUGGACUUCACCCUGGCCCUGGAAGUCUGCCGGAAAUCACUGAGGGUUUCUGUAUUGUUGAAUGAUGCGAUCUGCCUUCCUUUGGGAAGAUAACCUUGUCCUGGGGUUAGGAAGAGGAGGAAGAGCUCUACACCCACCUGAUCUGUUCUGGAGCCAGACUUCCUUGGUUCAAAUCCCAAUUCUGCCACAUACUACCUCCGUUACUUUGGGGAAGGGGAGCUCUUCCAGGCCUCUGACUUGUGAAGACAGACACUGCAGAGGACUUUUUGCUGAGAAAAGAAGCUGAAUGAAGGGAUGGAUGUCUUUAAAAGGCCCGGUCUUGGGGGUCCAUCACCUCUCUAAGAACCAUCUUCAUCUCCUCCUCCUCUGUGCCCUUCCAGGAAAAGAGGAGCAGACUCCUCUGCUCCCAGGUGGAGAAAAGCAUGAAUUCUUUAAAAUACUUUGAGUGUAGAGUAUGGGUGUGUGGAAGACUUCCUGGAGGAGGUGAGAUGAUCUAAGGGAGGCACGUUGCUCUUGUGGGAUGGAGCAGAGCAUUCAGGGUGGAGAUUCCUGGAUGAUAUGGACAGAGGCAGAGUGAAGUUUCACAUCUUGGAGGAUGGAUAUAGCUGGGCUGCUUUGAAAGAGACAUGUCAAGAUGGAAGUGGACCCAACAUAAAAGUUAGUGGACACAACACAAAAUUGAGUGGCAGGCAUCAAUGAUUUGGAUCAGUCACCCGAGCACAUUCCCUGGAAUUCCAGCAAGUUCACAGAAGGGAUUUUCCUUCUUCAAGCCCCUCUCCCUGCCCUGCCAAUUCUUGACAGUGAUGUUAAACCACACCUGCUUGGCCCCUGAGACAUCUCUCACCUGCCCCGGGUCCUACAGGAAGAUGAACUGCCAAGGUGAAAAGGCUCACGGCAAGAGCAUGUGUGUCCUGGGUGUGUGCCAACUUAGAAUCACAAGAAAAAGUUAACUAAGAAGAGAUUCAUGGGACAAUGGUUACUGUCAACAAACAUUUGGUGGAUGGUCACACAUUUGGUUCUGACUUGUCCUCUGGAGAUCAAGGAAUUAGAACGGAGACAGAGGUGGGAGUUUCUGAAAAGAGGAGUUUAAUUUUAAUGUAAAGAAUAACUUCCAGUGGGCAGAACUUGAACAUUGAACCUUGAAAUGGAUAGGAUGAGCUGCUUCGGAGGUCCAAGAGGCAUGGCACUGCAGUUGUCUAAGCAGGCAAUCAACAGCACUUGCCAGGGACAAUGAAUAGGAGAAUCCAGCCGUAGUGUGUGUGUGUGCGUGUGUGUGAGAGAGAGAGAAGUGAAUAAAUCAUUUCAAAACAAUCACAGGACCAUUUUGUGAAAACUUCUGAAUUUGUCUAUCACAGCUGAGUACUCAUCUCAGUCUUGUGGAGACUAUCUGAAACCUAAACAGGUUCUUUGCUUCUUUGAUUUUUCUAGUUCAUACAUGCCCAAGGCUCAAUAAGAUAAACAGUCAUUUGCAGGGAGAAAACCUGGGUAUUUAUUCUUGGCUUUCUUUUGUUCUUUUCAAAAAUAGAGAUCUUUGUUUGACGAGAAACAGCAUUGCUUCUCUCUAGAGCAGAGAUCAAUAAUGGCUUUUCUGCUAGAGCUAGCAUGUAUAUUUUCUUUAUUUCCAAGGGAUCACUACUGGGAACAGGGAAGCAGAAAGCCCUCAUUCAACUGGAUGCCCUAGAACUUUUGCUUU
rnacentral:lncRNA from 1 species